rnacentral:rRNA from 1 species
UACGUAGGGGGCGAGCGUUGUCCGGAUUUACUGGGCGUAAAGAGCGCGUAGGCGGACCUUUAAGUGUGGCCUGAAAGCCCCCGGCUCAACCGGGGAAGGUGGCUGCAAACUGGGGGUCUUGAGGGCGAUAGAGGAGAGCGGAAUUCCUGGUGUAGCGGUGAAAUGCGUAGAUAUCAGGAGGAACACCGGUGGCGAAGGCGGCUCUCUGGGUCGGCCCUGACGCUGAGGCGCGAAAGCGUGGGGAGCGAACGGGAUUAGAUACCCGUGUAGU